GCCUCCACGACGGGGCCGCGAGGCCGAGCGGGGCAGCGGGACCCGGCCGGUUCUCAGCCGACGAGGUCCGGCGUGGGCGAGCCCUCCUACAGCGAGGCCAGGCCGGAAGGCUGGAUCAAGCCGGUCGCGAGCCCUUUGGUCCGCUCUUCGCGGCGAGCGAAGGGGCGGGCCGCGCCUGUGCCGCCCCGGAAGCGGAAGUGAAGGCGCCCCGAGUCCUUUCCAGUGGGAGCUCUAGCCGGCGUCGGUCCGUUCCACCCGCCGGCCACUUCGCGCCUCUUCUGCUGCUGGUGUCCUCGUCACCGGCCCGUCCUCACCAUGCUGUCUCUAGACUUUUUGGACGAUGUGCGGCGGAUGAACAAGCGGCAGCUGUAUUACCAAGUCCUAAAUUUUGGAAUGAUUGUCUCCUCGGCACUAAUGAUCUGGAAGGGGCUCAUGGUCAUAACCGGAAGUGAAAGUCCGAUUGUAGUGGUGCUCAGUGGCAGCAUGGAACCUGCGUUUCAUAGAGGAGACCUUCUCUUUCUGACAAAUCGAGUUGAGGAUCCCAUACGAGUGGGAGAAAUCGUCGUUUUUAGAAUAGAAGGAAGAGAGAUCCCUAUAGUUCACCGGGUCUUAAAGAUUCAUGAAAAGCAAAACGGAAAUAUCAAGUUUUUGACCAAAGGAGACAAUAACGCGGUUGACGACCGGGGCCUCUAUAAACAAGGACAACAUUGGCUAGAGAAAAAAGAUGUUGUGGGCAGAGCGAGGGGCUUUUAACAGGAGCACAAAUCAGUGGAGGACAGGAAUUAUUUGUUCCUUAUAUUGGGAUUGUGACAAUCCUCAUGAACGACUAUCCUAAAUUUAAGUACGCAGUCCUCUUCCUGCUGGGCCUCUUCGUGCUGGUCCAUCGGGAGUGAGAAGCCAGCCGCCUCGCCGCUCCGGGGAGGUGCCGUACGUUGUGUUCCUGGUGUUCGCAGUAGAUGUCGGUCUGUGGCUGGUGGAGGGGCGCUGGCGCAGGCCGCCCCUCCCGGUUUGCAUUCGUUCCUGUCCCCUCCCAGGGUCUGUCUGGGCCGGUGUCCGUCCGCGCCCCGCCCCGCCGGGCGCACGCUCUCCAGGGGACUGUCACUCACAGGAUCUCCCACGCUGUCAUUGUCCCACUUCCGCAUUUUUGUACACCCCGUGGGUUUUUUAUAUUAAAAGGUUGAGCCAAAGCCCCCAGUGUUUGUAUUUCGAAGCCAAGCUUCGCUUUUAAAGUGCCUACAGAGUUGGGAAGCCACCGUUUCCUCCCGCUAAUGGGAAUGGCGCAUCCUGAGGCGGUCGGAAGUUUUAACGUUUUAAAAUGUUCAAUAAAAGACUUUGCAUAU